UAUGUUCUGAACGGAGUAAGAACAUUACAAUUUAUAGAACGUAACAUUUUGUUCACACAAACAGACGGCAAUUGAACAAAACAGUUUGUUAACAAGUUACGAAAUACGAAGCAUUUUUGAUAUUCAAUAUUGAAUAAUGUUUAAUGUGUCUCAACUUCUGUUCCUGUAUUUAACUGUUUUGACGAGCAAGCACGCUGCCGGCACGAUCAUGGGCUACGAGUACGUGCAAGAAGCAGAUGCAUGGCUGCGCCUGCACAUCGUGCCGGCUGAUUGGCAAGACGCCCGCUUACGAUGUCAUCUUGAAGGUGGCGUUCUAGCUUCAUCUACAAGCAGUGCUUUAACCAAAGCAAUGAUUGCCAU